rnacentral:lncRNA from 1 species
AAUAAUGACCAAAAUAAAUCCAUUCGCCAACCUAAAAAGUCGUCGGAAACAGACCAUCUUUCACCUACAAAGCUUCUUCAUAACCAAUACUCCACCAUUGUACCACCAAUCAAUCAUAAAAAUAAAAAAGAACCGGCCAUAAAAAAUGACUACCUAAAUUACCAACAGCACCCAAAACAAUCUAUAAUUUUGCUACAGGAAAACGAACCGAAAAUAGGUUUCACCGUUUCUAUUUCUUUUCUUUGCCAAGGCUAUCUUCCAAAGUAAGGGAAUGGGGAUGUGAGAAAAAUAUUCCACAAGAAUUGCUGCUAAUUAUGUAGAGGUUUUGGAUAUGUGUGGAUGCAGAUAUGAAGAGAAGUGUUGUGUUGUUGGGGGUGUUAGGUUAAAAUGGGGGAAAAGGAGUAACGCGGAGAAGGGAGGGAGAUAGAGAAAAAUUAGGGGGGGAGAGGGGAGGGGUUGGAGUCAGG